rnacentral:rRNA from 1 species
UACGAAGGGGGCUAGCGUUGCUCGGAAUCACUGGGUGUAAAGGGUGCGUAGGCGGGUCUUUUAAGUCAGGGGUGAAAUCCUGGAGCUCAACUCCAGAACUGCCUUUGAUACUGAGGAUCUUGAGUUCGGGAGAGGUGAGUGGAACUGCGAGUGUAGAGGUGAAAUUCGUAGAUAUUCGCAAGAACACCAGUGGCGAAGGCGGCUCACUGGCCCGAUACUGACGCUGAGGCACGAAAGCGUGGGGAGCAAACAGGG